CCCAAAUUGGCCAACAUAUAUCGAAAUUAUGAUGAACUUCCAAACUGAAUUAACUAGCCUAAAAAGGUGAGUUGAUUCGGCUUUGGCUUAAUUUCUGGAGGUGUAGAAAAAAUAAAGAAAUUAAGGCUUCAAAUUGGCUAGCUAAGUGGAAUAAUGACAAGGUCGGUUUUUUAUGAGUAAUUGUGGCUUAAUUCCUAUGGCCUCUUAAAUCAUAUUAAUGGAAAUCAAAUGUAUUACUAUCCUUAAUAAGAUCUAAAGCAAGUUCUAGAGUAAUUGAUAGUCGAUAACAAUAAUCACACAUGAAUUAAUAAUAACCUCCCAAGUUGGCAUGGAUGUCCCAACUUACGCUCUAGGCUCAAAUUCCUCACAAGGACCACAUAAUUGAUCAAAUAAGCGACUAAAAAUCUCUUCAAUUUAAAACCACAAAAUCAAGUUUUU
rnacentral:lncRNA from 1 species